rnacentral:tRNA from 1 species
CGGGUUGUAGCGCAGGGGUAGCGCGCUUGGUUCGGGACCAAGAUGUCGGCGGUUCAAAUCCGCCCAGCCCGA